GUGAUAAGUCAUAAUUCAUAAGUCAUUUCACAGCAUUACUGUUUACUGACGUCUGACGAUACCUGAAGUAAUACACGUCAUUUUUCCCCGCCGAGGUGCCCGUUUUUCGUGUUACUAUGACUCUUGUCCAGCCUGGCAAAGCUUCGCAAGUUUCGGCUUCCAUGUUGAUGUGCAAGAGAAGGAAGUCUGGGACCGAAUAUUGAAUAAUGACGUCCCUUUGUGUAGAAAUAACUUAUUUAUAAUUCACCUCAUAUAAUAAUGUUUAUUUAUGUUCUUAUCUUUCAACUAGGCAUUAGGAAAUACAACUAAAAUGUCACCAAUGUCGUACAUAUGCCGUUUACUUUUCAUACUGUGUCACAACAAUACAUUGGUUUAUUAAGAGGAAUGAAUUAGUCAAUAGUCACAAAGUAAAUUUUGAAAUUAUAAAGUAAAACUUCUAAGGUCAAGCAA